rnacentral:rRNA from 1 species
AUUGAACGCUGGCGGCAUGCCUUACACAUGCAAGUCGAACGGCAGCGGGGGAGAAGCUUGCUUUUCCUGCCGGCGAGUGGCGAACGGGUGAGUAAUACAUCGGAACGUGCCCUGUAGUGGGGGAUAACUAGUCGAAAGAUUAGCUAAUACCGCAUACGACCUGAGGGUGAAAGUGGGGGACCGCAAGGCCUCAUGCUAUAGGAGCGGCCGAUGUCUGAUUAGCUAGUUGGUGGGGUAAAGGCCUACCAAGGCGACGAUCAGUAGCUGGCCUGGGAGGACGGUCAGGCACACUGGGACUGAGACACGGCCCAGACUCCUACGGGAGGCAGCAGUGGGGAAUUUUGGACAAUGGGCGAAAGCCUGAUCCAGCAAUGCCGCGUGUGUGAAGAAGGCCUUCGGGUUGUAAAGCACUUUUGUCCGGAAAGAAAUGGCUCUGGUUAAUACCUGGGGUCGAUGACGGUACCGGAAGAAUAAGGACCGGCUAACUACGUGCCAGCAGCCGCCGCAG